GUCUCGUCUGGUGUAGGGUUUGUUGCUAAGUCUUGUCCAUGCCAUGCCAUGCCUUGUUCCUCACCUACCCCAUGUACUUCUGCCUGACCUCAGCGUGCUCCAGAGAGUCUUCCUAGGCCACGCCAACACAUGAAACCUACUUCACAACGCAGAGCCGUGUCUGUCCAUGAAGACACUCUCACCAUGACACAAGCAAGUGACAAAGAAAAACAGACCGUUCAAGAGAACAAGGAAGCUGUCCACAAGGAGGAGCUGAUUGCAGAGAGAGAAAGAGCAGGCUGUGGAGGUACUGUGGCUGAAAUCAAGUCCCCCCUUCUACAAAAGAUAGAAGCACCAAAUGUAGGGUGCCUACCCUCUUCUGCUUGGGCUCAACAAGGAGCAACAGCACAAUUCUUCAGCGCAGCAUCCUCAGAGAGGCCCCCAGCAUUACCCCACACCCUAGAAAAGUGUCCUGCAAUCCCCACAUCCCAGAAAAAGACCCACAGCACAGCAAUCCCCCAAACUAAAGGAAAACUGACAGCCUCUGCACCAUCGCAAGAAAAGACCCCCAGCACAACCCCUGUGGCAUCUGAAACCCCUCAAGUGAGCCCUCUUCCCCACACUAAGAGCCACAGCACAGUGACAGCCACAGCAGACCUGAAAAAUAGCACACAGGAGGAGGGAGAGGUGGUCUCUAAACAGCACACAGCAGACCAAAGAACUGAGCCCCCUCUGUGAGAAUAAUGAAGAGACUGUCUUAAUUAAGGAGGAAAUUAUAUUACUGAGUUCAGGGAGUGGGAGAUAUCUGGGGUCUGGGGAUAGAGAAUGUUGUUUUCUCCAGAACACAGCCAUAUCCCACAUCAGUUUGCUGUGUGACAACAAAAUAUACACAGCUGGUAUGUAUAUUAGCUGGGUACGAGCUUCUGUAUAGUUUUUAUAAUUAUCGAUUUGGAAUAGAAAAAAUAAAACAUAUUUAUGUUGCUAUAUUUUCUGUUUUUCAAAUAUACGACUUUCAGCAGUUCGGUUUUACAAGGUUGUGCUCUGUUGUCUAUUAUGCAAUAUAGCACACCUGAACUAAGGUUAAAUCAGUUCCACAUAAAGAUUGGUUACUUUUAUAAACGUUAUGCGCUCAUGUGCACAAACAUAUGACCUUAACCAAUUUCACAUUACCACACAAAUUUAGUUUCCAGCACACACUCUCACAACUGUUACUCAUUUGCUCACUUAUGGACAAAGUGUCACAUGGUUACUUGGAUGAGCACAUCAUUGACUUGGUUUGACUGCAAUAAAAAAAUAUUUUUGGUCAUCAGAAUACUUAUUACCAUGAUGUUUAAAAAUGUAUUUAUAUUAUAAACAUCCAGCCAAGGAAAAAAAUCUAAAAAAAACAUCUGGACAUUUGAAAUGCGAAAUGUGUAGGAGGUAACCUGGUACGAAUAUGGCAGGUGGUUUGUUUUUGCCUUCAGUCCCUAUUUACUUUCAAACCGCUAAUGUACAGGCUCUUAGCUGUAGCUAGCUAGACACUUAUGCACCUACCAUGUAUAUGCAGAUUAUGUUGACACCUCAUUAUUUGACUAAUGUCAAAAAUAAUCCUGAACUAAAAUGCACAAUUUAUUUUGUACUCAGUCUGAAGAUGUCCCUACAACUGACAGUCUCAAAUGGACACAGCUGGAGUGUACUUCACCAGAAUCACCUACUAAAGACGGUAUCACUAUGAAAUUAAAUGAUUUUUAUGCCCAAGAUGUACUUUAUCAGUGGACAAUAGUGUAUUUUUUCACUUUACUACUCUUGAGGUUUGUCCUACUAUAGAAGGUGGUCAAGGUUCUGGAAAAAUGCCUCAUUAACUACAUUCUUUUGAGUUACUAGGAUUAUUUGGAUUACCACAGAGACAUUUUACCCAAAGUGCUCUGGCCUUUGUUAGCUGUUUUUGGUGAGCAUGUACUGUUUGCGUCAAUCAGAAUCAGAAGCAGCAAUUCAGCACCAGCUGUUCAGUUUUAUACAGUAGUAGUUGCAUCUGCCUUUUAAUACAGAGCACAGCAAAUCAUUGUGCAAUGAUGGUAUUAAGUCUUUAUUUCUUUUGACCAUUAUGGCCAAUGAAGAGAUUAAAAAAUGGCUUUGAAUCCAAUUUUCUUAUGAACAAAAAUUAAGCUCACCAUCAAAACAGAUGUAAAGGAAACAUUAACAAUCAGCUCCAACAAUUUGAGCACUGACGGUUGAUGUAAAUAGCAGUGAUUAUUAUGUCAGUGGGUGGGAUAUAUGAGGCACUAAGGUGAAAUUUUGUAUCUUAACGUAGCUUUAAUAGAAGCAGGACAAACAGACAGGCAAGACUUGAGUGACUUUGACAACGUGUAGUUGGGUACAAGCAACUGGGUCAAAGCAACUUCAAAACUGCAGCUCUGUGCAGUAUUCAGUUUGCAAUGGCCAGUAGAUAUCAAAAGUGAAGAGGGGGUGAAGGCCAGCCAGUGUUGUCUGAUUCAGCAUACAAGCUACUAUAACCCAAAUCGCUGUUAUAAGGUAAUGCUGGCUCUGAUAAAAAAAAAAACUCGCAGAACAAAUAGUGCAUUGCAGUUUGUUGUUUAUAGGGCUGUAUAGAUACUAGUUAAAGGGUCAUAUCCACUGCCAAAAGUGCCUUCAAUGGGCAGGUGCGCAUCAGAACUAGACCACAGCAAUUGAAGUAUUUUGACUGAUCUGAGUAAUGAUGUUUUCUUUUACAUCAUAUGAAUGGCUGAGGAUGCACAGGACACCGGGGCCAUGUACCAUAGGAAGGAGGAGGUAGUGUGGGAUAUGUAUUGUUGGAGACCUGCUGUAUCUCAAUAAAGAGCACAAAAUAUCUACAAAACUACAUAAAACAAAGUUAUGAACAGAGUGC
ensembl:lncRNA